UUGGACCUCAGUUCCUGGCAUCC
rnacentral:miRNA from 1 species